rnacentral:lncRNA from 1 species
CGGGUUAGUAUGCAGGGUUGGUCCAUGGAUAGCAAGUCGGGUGGGUUAGUCUAUGAUCAUGCUUGACUGGGUUCAGAUCUUAUGCUUGCGUCACGCUUCUGAUCGUCUCACAAACUUUCCCUGGCAUAUUCUACCUGCCACAAGACCGUUCUUUGGUGCGUCCCUUUCGUCCUUAGUGUACGGGCUGGUUUGGCGGUUCAGGUG